UUUUUGAGGUUAUCACCUAUUUGGUAAUUCUGAUCAUUUUUAUUUUUAUUUUUAUUUUUAUUUAUUUUUGUGUGCUUGUUAUCAACCUAAUUAUUAAGAAGUGUGUAAAUUUUGAGUUUAAAUCAAUGGUUCAUUCAUUAAUUAGUGAAGUUCAAAUCUAUUGUAGGAAUUAUUUGGGAUUGGUUAGGAUUUGAUUUAGGAUUUAGGAUUUAGGAUUUAAGAUUUGAUUUAGGGUUUAGGAUUUGAUUUACGGUUUGGUUUAGGAUUUGAUUAAGAUUUGAUUUAGGAUUUACGAUUUGAUUAGGAUUUGAUUUAGAAUUUAGAAUUUGAUUAGGAUUUGAUUUAGAAUUUAAGAUUUGGUUAGGAUUUGGUUUAGGAAUUAGGAUUUGGUUAAGAAUUGAUUUAAGAUUUAGAAUUUGGUUAGGAUUUGAUUUAGGAUUAGGAUUUGGUUAAGAAUUAAUUUAAGAUUUAAAAUUUAAUUAGAAGUUGAUUUAGGGUUUAGGAUUUAGUUAGGAUUUGAUUUAAGAUUAGAAUUUGAUUAGGAGUUGAUUUAGGAUUUAGGAUUUGGUUAGAAUUUGAUUAGGAUUUGGGAUUUUAUUAAAAAUUGAUCAAGAUUUAUUUAGGGUUUGUUUAGAAUUUAAGAUUUAAUUAAUUUUUGGCCUAAAAUUUGAAUGAAGUCUAAUAGGAUUUUAACUAGGAUUAAAUUAAGAUUAGAUUGAGAUUUAUUUGAUAUAUAUUUGUGAUCAUUUUAAUAUUUUUUUAAGAUUUCUUAUUGUUUCUUUAUAAUUCUUUUAAGGUUUCUUUGAAUUUGAUUAAAGCUUGCUUAGUAUUGUUAGUGUUCUAUUAGAGUUAGGAUUUUGUUGUUGUAAUUUCUAUUCCACCUUCCACAACCAAGUACUUAGAGCAUUCUUAAGCAAGACUUCACGUAUUAUGACAACAUGCUUUGUUAUAUUGACACGACUCAUAUAAGCGUUCAAAGGCUCAAAUAUCACAAUCCAAACAUGUCCAAAAUCAUGUCUUUGAGAUUUGUUUUAGGAUCUUUUCUCAUCCGAGAUGUCUAGAUAUUAGGAUGUUAUGUCCUUC
rnacentral:lncRNA from 1 species